AAAAAAAAAAUAUUCAGCUAUACUAAGAUUAAUAGAUAAUAAUGUUAUUUAAAAAUCAUAACAUAUUCCUUGAUUUUCUAUUAAAAGUAUAACAUAAUAGUUUUAUUAAAAUCCGACUAAAUAGACAAUGAGAAUAUUAACUAAAUUAAUUGGCUCAAUAGUAUACUUUAAAAUAUACUUUAAAUCCCUUGAAUAUAUUCUGUAAAAUACAAGAAGCCAAUUUAAACAUUAAGCUCCACAUGAAGUCAGCCCAUUUAAAACAAUACACUAGUUUAUGAAAUCAACACCCUGAGAAAAUAGGAAGGCCCAAGGCCCAUGUGAGAAGUCAGCCCACGUACAAAACAAGUUAAGACACAAAUCUGACAUAGACACUUAAGGGCAGAGAUGUAAUUUAACCAAAGAUUUUUCAAAAGUGUUUACGAGAGGUUACACAACAAGGGUUAAAAGGGUAUAAAUGUAAUUACAAUAUUAAUGUAUGGGCUUUUUGGGAAAGGCUGAAACAAAAGAAAUAAAAAGAGAAACACAUGCUUAUGGGAGAGGAGGGUUGUGAGAUGCUCACCAAGAGAGAGAGAGAAGAACCACUGUGACAGUGGGUCUGGGUGGCUGGACGAGGGUCACGGUGGUGCAACUGGAGGGUCCCUUUAAACAUGAUGAUGCGACAUAGAGAGAGAGAGUUUAGAGAGAGAGAGAGAGAGAGAGAGGAGGGUGGCGGACGGUAGUGGGCUUACCGGAAUAGUGGGGAUUCGACGGAGUUUGGCUGUCUGGCAGUUUCUGGGCAGCGUGGGUGGUGCUCCGACGUCCUUUGUGGUUGACUGUGGUGGCGGCGUCUUCUGUGGUAGUUCCCGACGAGGUGGUGGUCUGGUAUGGAGAGAAAGUGCUACGGUGGCUUUUGUUUUCAACAUGGGGCUUGCUGUGAGAAUGAGUUUGGCCGUGAGUAUGGGUAGUGGCUAAUGGGAAGGUUUUGGCCGCAAGGGAGCUGCUGGUUUGAUGGAGGAAAAAGCGUUAGG